GCCUCGAUAGCUCAGUCGGUAGAGCGUUAGACUGAAGAUCUAAAGGUCCCUGGUUCAAUCCCGGGUCGAGGCA
rnacentral:tRNA from 1 species